UAUUCUGCCCCAUGGGGAAGGAUGAGAAGCUUCGACUAAGGUUCGACUCGAGCGCCAGCGAGAGAACGUUGCCACAGGCAACGGCCCGAAGGCGAGGCGCUUUAGCGCCGAGUAAUCCUUCCCCCACCACCA
rnacentral:sRNA from 1 species